CAAGCAGAUGAGCUGUCGCUGAAUUCAGUGGCUUCUCACUUUCAAAUUUUGCGAUAUAAAAGCUCUCAGCGGCCCAGACACCGUUGUUCUAUCGUUUCAGGAUUCCUUGGAAGACAGAGUCCCAAGAUGAAGAUUCUGUUUUGUAUUUUUGCGCUUGCUGGAGCCAUACUGGCGAGACCCCAGAACCUGCCUCACUUUGACGAAGGGUUGCAGAUUGGUAAUCAAAACGGAUUUCUCGCACCGGACGUAGCAAUUAUCGAUCAGGGUGUUGUCCCACUGGUCAAUGCCCAGGAAGACAUCCCCUACACCCAGGAUGUGAAUCUAGAACAGUUCUUGGUUGGUUUGGAUUCCCCGGUUGCCUCGAAUCUUCAGCGUUCGGUCAGCCAGGCAUUGCCGUAAGCAUUCGGAAAGGAACUGACGGCACUCGAAACGACGAUGACCCCUGCCAACGUUCAGCGGACCAAUGCUCAAACGGAUUCUUCUCGAUGAUACUACAACCGCCGAUAUUGCUGACAUCUUUUGUGGCCACAAAGUUGACUUCUUUCGAUGUAGAAAUGCUCCUUCGCGUGAUAUUCAUGAUACUGAUAGUGGAAAAAGACCAAAAUGGAACGACAACACGUGAAGUCUUCAUAGCUAGUUAAUCCUAAAUUAAAAUAAAUGUAUUUUAUUUAUUGGCUGUAAUUUGUAAGGUACAAUAAAAAUGCCAACCAAUGACUUCUUAGAA